GGGUUGUGAGGUUAAGCGACUAAGCGUACACGGUGGAUGCCCUGGCAGUCAGAGGCGAUGAAGGGCGUGCUAAUCUGCGAUAAGCGCCGGUAAGGUGAUAUGAACCGUUAUAACCGGCGAUACCCGAAUGGGGAAACCCAGUGUGAUUCGUCACACUAUCAUUAACUGAAUCCAUAGGUUAAUGAGGCGAACCGGGGGAACUGAAACAUCUAAGUACCCCGAGGAAAAGAAAUCAACCGAGAUUCCCCCAGUAGCGGCGAGCGAACGGGGAGGAGCCCAGAGCCUGAAUCAGCAUGUGUGUUAGUGGAAGCGUCUGGAAAGGCGCGCGAUACAGGGUGACAGCCCCGUACACAAAAGCGCAUGUGCUGUGAGCUCGAUGAGUAGGGCGGGACACGUGGUAUCCUGUCUGAAUAUGGGGGGACCAUCCUCCAAGGCUAAAUACUCCUGACUGACCGAUAGUGAACCAGUACCGUGAGGGAAAGGCGAAAAGAACCCCGGCGAGGGGAGUGAAAAAGAACCUGAAACCGUGUACGUACAAGCAGUGGGAGCNNGUGACUGCGUACCUUUUGUAUAAUGGGUCAGCGACUUAUAUUCUGUAGCAAGGUUAACCGAAUAGGGGAGCCGGAGGGAAACCGAGUCUUAAUUGGGCGUUAAGUUGCAGGGUAUAGACCCGAAACCCGGUGAUCUAGCCAUGGGCAGGUUGAAGGUUGGGUAACACUAACUGGAGGACCGAACCGACUAAUGUUGAAAAAUUAGCGGAUGACCUGUGGCUGGGGGUGAAAGGCCAAUCAAACCGGGAGAUAGCUGGUUCUCCCCGAAAGCUAUUUAGGUAGCGCCUCGUGAAUUCAUCUCCGGGGGUAGAGCACUGUUUCGGCUAGGGGGCCAUCCCGGCUUACCAACCCGAUGCAAACUGCGAAUACCGGAGAAUGUUAUCACGGGAGACACACGGCGGGUGCUAACGUCCGUCGUGAAGAGGGAAACAACCCAGACCGCCAGCUAAGGUCCCAAAGUCAUGGUUAAGUGGGAAACGAUGUGGGAAGGCCCAGACAGCCAGGAUGUUGGCUUAGAAGCAGCCAUCAUUUAAAGAAAGCGUAAUAGCUCACUGGUCGAGUCGGCCUGCGCGGAAGAUGUAACGGGGCUAAACCAUGCACCGAAGCUGCGGCAGCGANNUGCUGGAGGUAUCAGAAGUGCGAAUGCUGACAUAAGUAACGAUAAAGCGGGUGAAAAGCCCGCUCGCCGGAAGACCAAGGGUUCCUGUCCAACGUUAAUCGGGGCAGGGUGAGUCGACCCCUAAGGCGAGGCCGAAAGGCGUAGUCGAUGGGAAACGGGUUAAUAUUCCCGUACUUGGUGUUACUGCGAAGGGGGGACGGAGAAGGCUAUGUUGGCCGGGCGACGGUUGUCCCGGUUUAAGCGUGUAGGUGUGUGUUCCAGGUAAAUCCGGUUCACUUUAACACUGAGGCGUGACGACGAGGCACUACGGUGCUGAAGCAACAAAUGCCCUGCUUCCAGGAAAAGCCUCUAAGCAUCAGGUAACAUCAAAUCGUACCCCAAACCGACACAGGUGGUCAGGUAGAGAAUACCAAGGCGCUUGAGAGAACUCGGGUGAAGGAACUAGGCAAAAUGGUGCCGUAACUUCGGGAGAAGGCACGCUGACACGUAGGUGAAGUGAUUUACUCAUGGAGCUGAAGUCAGUCGAAGAUACCAGCUGGCUGCAACUGUUUAUUAAAAACACAGCACUGUGCAAACACGAAAGUGGACGUAUACGGUGUGACGCCUGCCCGGUGCCGGAAGGUUAAUUGAUGGGGUCAGCGCAAGCGAAGCUCCUGAUCGAAGCCCCGGUAAACGGCGGCCGUAACUAUAACGGUCCUAAGGUAGCGAAAUUCCUUGUCGGGUAAGUUCCGACCUGCACGAAUGGCGUAAUGAUGGCCAGGCUGUCUCCACCCGAGACUCAGUGAAAUUGAACUCGCUGUGAAGAUGCAGUGUACCCGCGGCAAGACGGAAAGACCCCGUGAACCUUUACUAUAGCUUGACACUGAACAUUGAGCCUUGAUGUGUAGGAUAGGUGGGAGGCUUUGAAGUGUGGACGCCAGUCUGCAUGGAGCCGACCUUGAAAUACCACCCUUUAAUGUUUGAUGUUCUAACGUGGACCCGUAAUCCGGGUUGCGGACAGUGUCUGGUGGGUAGUUUGACUGGGGCGGUCUCCUCCUAAAGAGUAACGGAGGAGCACGAAGGUUGGCUAAUCCUGGUCGGACAUCAGGAGGUUAGUGCAAUGGCAUAAGCCAGCUUGACUGCGAGCGUGACGGCGCGAGCAGGUGCGAAAGCAGGUCAUAGUGAUCCGGUGGUUCUGAAUGGAAGGGCCAUCGCUCAACGGAUAAAAGGUACUCCGGGGAUAACAGGCUGAUACCGCCCAAGAGUUCAUAUCGACGGCGGUGUUUGGCACCUCGAUGUCGGCUCAUCACAUCCUGGGGCUGAAGUAGGUCCCAAGGGUAUGGCUGUUCGCCAUUUAAAGUGGUACGCGAGCUGGGUUUAGAACGUCGUGAGACAGUUCGGUCCCUAUCUGCCGUGGGCGCUGGAGAACUGAGGGGGGCUGCUCCUAGUACGAGAGGACCGGAGUGGACGCAUCACUGGUGUUCGGGUUGUCAUGCCAAUGGCACUGCCCGGUAGCUAAAUGCGGAAGAGAUAAGUGCUGAAAGCAUCUAAGCACGAAACUUGCCCCGAGAUGAGUUCUCCCUGAGACUUAGAGUCUCCUGAAGGAACGUUGAAGACGACGACGUUGAUAGGCCGGGUGUGUAAGCGCAGCGAUGCGUUGAGCUAACCGGUACUAAUGAACCGUGAGGCUUAACCUUACAACGCCGAAG
rnacentral:rRNA from 1 species